AUCCAGCUGACGAGUCCCAAAUAGGAUGAAAUGUUGCACGUCUCAGAU
rfam:Schistosoma haematobium scaffold1398_8, whole genome shotgun sequence.